UUCCACCGCCCCCUUCCAGCCUAAGCUAGAGCCAGUGGGCCUCCGGCCUAGCAGAGCUUUCGCCAUGGCGCUCAGCGAUGCUGACGUGCAAAAGCAGAUUAAGCAUAUGAUGGCUUUUAUUGAACAAGAAGCCAAUGAGAAAGCAGAGGAAAUAGAUGCAAAGGCAGAGGAAGAGUCCAACGUUGAGAAAGGUCGUCUUGUGCAAACCCAAAAGUCUUUGGGUUUGCACAAUCAGUCUUCUGAUUGAGCAGCAGAAGAAAAUUCAGAUGUCUAAUUUGAUGAAUCAAGCAAGGCUCAAAGUCCUCAGAGCAAGAGAUGACCUUAUUACAGACCUUCUAAAUGAAGCAAAACAGAGACUCAGCAAAGUGGUAAAAGAUACAACCAGGUACCAGGUGCUGCUGGAUGGACUGGUCCUUCAGGGUUUGUACCAAUUGUUAGAGCCCCGAAUGAUUGUUCGUUGCAGGAAGCAGGAUUUCCCUCUGGUAAAGGCUGCAGUGCAAAAAGCAAUUCCUAUGUACAAAAUUGCCACCAAAAAAGAUGUUGAUGUCCAAAUUGAUCAGGAGGCCUACCUGCCUGAGGAAAUAGCUGGUGGAGUUGAGAUCUAUAAUGGGGAUCGUAAAAUAAAAGUUUCCAAUACCCUAGAAAGCCGGCUGGAUCUCAUAGCCCAGCAGAUGAUGCCAGAAGUACGGGGAGCCUUAUUUGGUGCAAAUGCCAAUAGGACGUUUUUGGACUAAACCUUUGGGCAAGGUGGAGUUCAUCCAUUGCUCUCCUGCUGUCAGGCAGAAGUUUCUGAUAUUUGAAGAAACAAGAUAUCUGUGUGGCUUCCUCUUCGCUCUUCUAAUAUUCUGUAUUUAUCAGUGGAUCCUCUCUGUAGCUAAUGCCCUUGGCCUAAUUGUUAACAUGAGAGAAAGUUUCACUUACUAUGAUCAGGAAACCUUCUUAGCUUAUCUGAAAGUAGCACAACUUUCAUUUGCUUCUGUAGCAUGAAGGUGAGGGUAUCAGAUGGUGGUUACUGGAGCUUCCCUGAGUCUCUGCUCUUCCUCUCGUCUUCUGCUGUCAGUUCUCGAGUCUAGAGGGUGAUGUGUAUGGUGUUCUCUGACAUUCAGUCUCUGCUCUUUAGGCUUCAGAUGCAUGGGGGGCAUGCAUUCCUGCCAGCACUGGUAGCUUCACUGUUCACCUGUUUGGGCCUAGAAGCGUUUCUCAUCUGUAAAUGUGAUUUUGAAUCUAAGCCAUGAAUCGGUCUUAUUUAUUAAAACA